GAUGAACGCUGGCGGCGUGCUUAACACAUGCAAGUCGAACGAUGAAGCCCAGCUUGCUGGGUGGGUUAGUGGCGAACGGGUGAGUAACACGUGAGUAACCUGCCCUUAACUCUGGGAUAAGCCUGGGAAACUGGGUGUAAUACCGGAUAGGAGCGUCCACCGCAUGGUGGGGGUUGGGAAGAUUUAUCGGUUUUGGAUGGACUCGCGGCCUAUCAGCUUGUUGGUGAGGUAAUGGCUCACCAAGGCGACGACGGGUAGCCGGCCUGAGAGGGUGACCGGCCACACUGGGACUGAGACACGGCCCAGACUCCUACGGGAGGCAGCAGUGGGGAAUAUUGCACAAUGGGCGAAAGCCUGAUGCAGCGACGCCGCGUGAGGGAUGACGGCCUUCGGGUUGUAAACCUCUUUCAGUAGGGAAGAAGCGAAAGUGACGGUACCUGCAGAAGAAGCACCGGCUAACUACGUG
rnacentral:rRNA from 1 species